rnacentral:rRNA from 1 species
GAAUUUGGUGCUUGCACCAGAUGAAACUAGAUACAAGCGAGCGGCGGACGGGUGAGUAACACGUGGGUAACCUGCCCAAGAGACUGGGAUAACACCUGGAAACAGAUGCUAAUACCGGAUAACAACACUAGACGCAUGUCUAGAGUUUAAAAGAUGGUUCUGCUAUCACUCUUGGAUGGACCUGCGGUGCAUUAGCUAGUUGGUAAGGUAACGGCUUACCAAGGCAAUGAUGCAUAGCCGAGUUGAGAGACUGAUCGGCCACAUUGGGACUGAGACACGGCCCAAACUCCUACGGGAGGCAGCAGUAGGGAAUCUUCCACAAUGGACGCAAGUCUGAUGGAGCAACGCCGCGUGAGUGAAGAAGGGUUUCGGCUCGUAAAGCUCUGUUGGUAGUGAAGAAAGAUAGAGGUAGUAACUGGCCUUUAUUUGACGGUAAUUACUUAGAAAGUCACGGCUAACUACGUGCCAGCAGCCGCGGUAAUACGUAGGUGGCAAGCGUUGUCCGGAUUUAUUGGGCGUAAAGCGAGUGCAGGCGGUUCAAUAAGUCUGAUGUGAAAGCCUUCGGCUCAACCGGAGAAUUGCAUCAGAAACUGUUGAACUUGAGUGCAGAAGAGGAGAGUGGAACUCCAUGUGUAGCGGUGGAAUGCGUAGAUAUAUGGAAG